ACGGUAGUAGAACCAACAGGGAUUGCCCUAGUAACGGCGAGUGAAGCGGCAACAGCUCAAAUUUGAAAUCUGGCCCCCGGGUCCGAGUUGUAAUUUGUAGAGGAUGCUUUUGGCGAGGUGCCUUCCGAGUUCCCUGGAACGGGACGCCAUAGAGGGUGAGAGCCCCGUCUGGUCGGACACCGAGCCUCUGUAAAGCUCCUUCGACGAGUCGAGUAGUUUGGGAAUGCUGCUCAAAAUGGGAGGUAUAUGUCUUCUAAAGCUAAAUAUUGGCCAGAGACCGAUAGCGCACAAGUAGAGUGAUCGAAAGAUGAAAAGCACUUUGAAAAGAGGGUUAAAAAGUACGUGAAAUUGUUGAAAGGGAAGCGCCUAUGACCAGACUUGGGCCCGGUGAAUCACCCAGCGUUCUCGCUGGUGCACUUCGCCGGGCACAGGCCAGCAUCAGUUUGGCGCGGGGGAGAAAGGCUUCGGGAAUGUGGCUCCCCUGGGAGUGUUAUAGCCCGUUGCGCAAUACCCUGCGCUGGACUGAGGUACGCGCAUUCGCAAGGAUGCUGGCGUAAUGGUCAUCAGCGACCCGUCUUGAAACACGGACCAAGGAGUCGUCUUCGUAUGCGAGUGUUCGGGUGUCAAACCCCUACGCGUAAUGAAAGUGAACGCAGGUGAGAGCUUCGGCGCAUCAUCGACCGAUCCUGAUGUUCUCGGAUGGAUUUGAGUAAGAGCAUACGGGCCGGACCCGAAAGAAGGUGAACUAUGCCUGUAUAGGGUGAAGCCAGAGGAAACUCUGGUGGAGCUCGCAGCGGUUCUGACGUGCGAAUCGAUCGUCAAUAUGGGCAUGGGGCGAAAGACUAAUCGAACCUUCUAGUAGCUGGUUUCGCGAAGUUUCCCUCAGGAUAGCAGUGAUGACUCAGUUUUAUGAGGUAAAGCGAAUGAUAGGGACUCGGGGCGCUAUAUGCUUCAUCAUUCUCAAACUUUAAAUUUGUAGGAGCCUUGUACUGACUGGACGUGGGCAUCGAUGUAUCAACCCUAUGGCAUUUUUGUAGCUGACUGCAUGCGAUGACGACGCUAGUUAGGUCGAUUGAACGCUCAUCAGACCCACAUAGGGCUAGUUCAUCUGACGCAGACUGUCAUGAGUCGUAUUCGUAGACUGUAAGACUACUGCAGGUUAUGCCCUGUCAUAUAGAGAGUGGCGGCAU
rnacentral:rRNA from 1 species